rnacentral:rRNA from 1 species
UACAGAGGUCCCGAGCGUUGUUCGGAUUCAUUGGGCGUAAAGGGUGCGUAGGCGGUUAGGUAAGUUUGAUGUGAAAUCCUGGGGCUCAACCCUGGAACUGCAUUGAAUACUGCUUGACUAGAGUACUGGAGAGGAAACUGGAAUUCACGGUGUAGAGGUGAAAUUCGUAGAUAUCGAGAGGAACACCGGUGGCGAAGGCGGCCUUCUGGACAGUGACUGACGCUGAGACGCGAAAGCGUGGGGGAGCAAACAGG